AGAGAGUCAGUCGAAAUGAAAUUACACAUAGAAACUAAGCACAGCGAGGCUUUGUUUGUGAGACAUGCAGUCACGUGAGACUUUCGAGGGCCGUUUCUGGGUGGAGCUUGGUAAGGUCCAUUCCUUGCAGCAUUCCUGUGUCAUGCAUGAAUAUGAUUUUACUACUGAAGGUACAGCUCUUCUUUUUAAACCAUGAAAGAAAGUGAUCAGUCAGAAAGUCCAUAUACUUUGCUGAGUUCAUUUUCACACCUUCGGGGACUCCGAAGGGGCCGACCAACUCUCCCCUCAUAAUUUCGGCCCAAAACAUGAUUCCACCACCUCCUUGCUGACGUCACAAUCGUGUUGGGAUAUGGUGGCCAUCCACCACCAAUCCACUACUGCAUCCAUCUGGACCAUCCAGGGUUGCACAGCAGUCAUCAGUAAACAAGUUUAUUUGAAAAUUAAUUGGGCCCACUGCGACUGUUUCUGCUUGUCAGCACUGGUUAGGGGUGGCCGGAUAGUGGGUUCAUGCACCACAAGCCUCUAGAGGAUCUUCCACCUUGAGGUUCAAGAGGCACCAGCAGCUUCAAAUAACCAUUUGCUGCCUUGAAAGAGCAUUUUAACAGCUGCUCUUUUAAUGCGAUGAAUUUGUCUAACAGAAACCUUCCUCAUUAUGCCUUUAUCUGCACAAACCCAUCUUUGAUCUGAAUCAGCCACAAAUCUCUUCACAGUACGAUACCGCUUCAGUUUUCAUUAAAUAUCUAAUGUUUUCAUACCUUGUCAUAUGGCAUUACACUAUAUGAAGAUUGUCAUCAGCAGAGAAAUCCUUUCUCUUUCCAAUAUUGCUUGAAACCUGUGGCCUGCUUAAUAAUGUGGAACAUCCUUCUUAAGUAGAUUUCCUUUAAUUUAGCUCACCAGACAAACUAAUCAACCCAGCUCUCUGAAAUUAAUUAUAGUGAUUCAAAGACCCCUGACACACAAUACCAUCUAUAAAUUUAAUAACACAACAAAACAAUUUAAUCUUAAUGACACUUAAAUCCAAUUUGCAUAAUAAUUUGGAACACGGUGUAUAUAUUUACUGUUCAUUUUGUUACCCUGUUUAUACUUAGAAUAAAAUUUAAUCGCUUUUGUAAUACUCUGCAUUUCACAACCCCUUUUUCCCCUUUUCUCGGUGUUUAUAUUAUAUCAAGUAUUUGCAUGUAGAUUCAAGUGGGAUAUUAAAAUGCUUAAAAACACCUUUAAGUAAUACCAGCAAAGAAAUGUGAAUAUUAAGCAAUAUGCAGUUAGUCAUGUAAUUCAAUAUACUGAAUAAGGCUGGAUGAUAUGACUUACAAGAUUUUUUUCAUACCAGAUUUGAUUUGAAUUGAUUCCUCCCGUUCUCAAUUUCUAUAUAUAAAAAAUUAUUACAGAAAAUACUUUCACAAGUGCCUUUAUUUCAAUUAUUACUUCUUUUAGUUGGUAAGGGAGCAUUAUUGUCAGACUACAAGAAUUUUUAAUUACGAGAAUGCAGUCAUCAUAACAGCAGAAUAAAGAUGCAAUUUUACAAUAAUGUCUUAAAAUUACAAGAAGCUAUUUUAAUGAGAAAUAAAGAUUUAGAUUUAUCUGACGUAACCAGCUCAGUCAGUAAUCAAGAGGAUGUACAUUGCUACUUCAAUUGACCAGAUAAGUAUUAAGGUAAAAAAAAAUAAAGCAAAUGGAAAAUGGAAACUGAGCAUUAGCUCAGCCGAUGCAUCUGUCCAGGAAGCCACCAAACAGAACUCCUGUGCAACUCCAGCUACAAUAAAGAUAAAAACAGAAAUAAAACAAAGAUAAAAUAACAAAUAAUGCCAAUUUGAUCAUUCAGAUCUAAUGCGUUCCAGAUGUAAAAACUGAAAUGUAUCAUUGAUAUUUUACAAAUUUCACAAAUCAAUUAGAAGGUUUCACAAAUGUUUUAUUUAUUCUGUUAUUAGUGCAGAAUAAUCUAGUUAGGUUUGAAAUGUCUGUGUUGGGAACUGGGGUUUGUGGGAAUGGUUCCGUUUUGCUGCUUUUCCCCUCUUUUACCACCAGAGGGUGCGAAGAGGCUGUUUCCUUCCUGAGGGUGUUGCCUGUGGUUCCUGGAUUCUUGCACACCUGCAAUUUAUCACAUCAUCUGGAGGAGUAUAUGAGGGGGGGAGCUGCCGACACUUCAGCGCCAGAGUGUUAGCCAGUAUUUGGUGAUUCCUCGUGAAGCCAUGGAUGCUACCCACUGUGGUUGCCUGAGUUCCUGGCUUCUGCUGUGCAUUCCUUCCUUUGAGACGCCACACAUUAUUUGCAAAGCUGAUGACCACAGUGCCUUUUCACAUUGCUGCGAAAACAGGCUUUGUUUCAAAUGUCAUGCUCCAGCCUUGAUACAUUUAAAGUUGAGAGAGCGAACCAAUCACACCUUUGGCGCCUCAUUCGAUGUUUGAAGUUUACCUCAGUGUGGAUUGCGUGCCUCCUUUCACUCAAAGGAGGUGUAUGGAUAUUUACAUCGAUCCCCCUGUGAGGAAUUAUGUUUUUUUGGAGAACUUUACAUCAAGGAUUGCAUCGUAACACCUCGUGAUGUGUUUUUGAGCCAUGAUCGUUGUGCCGAUUACCUUUCCAUUGGGAUCCAAGCCCCUGGACCAGCUGACGGCGUCCAUCAGUCCACGGUUUUCCGGAUCAUCACAACGUGGACUAACUUUUUAUUUACAGUACUUGGUUAA